CCCUAUUAUACCAGAGGGCAACAAAAGGUAGCUAGAGUAGUAAGAGUAAAUGAGCUCGAAAUUCAAAGAAUUUGGCGGUAUUUUAGUCUAGUUGGAGGAACCUGUUUUAUAAACGAUACACCACGUAAAAUUUUUCUUACUCUUGUAAAGUUAGUAUACCUUCAUUAUUAGACAAUAUUUAGAGGUGUUGUUGAAAUCAGAGAUUUUGAGUAUAUUAGAUCACGGUGCUGCUUAUGGGUAAGUAGAAAUGGGUUACAAUAAAUCUUAUUUAAACGGAGUUAGGAGUUAAAUUACUAGUGAAGGAGGAUUCAAUUGUAAUUUGGAAUUUAAUAAGGCCAGAUGGUAAUAGCUCUAAAUGUGU
rnacentral:rRNA from 1 species